rnacentral:rRNA from 1 species
CCUACGGGAGGCAGCAGUGAGGAAUAUUGGUCAAUGGACGCAAGUCUGAACCAGCCAUGCCGCGUGCAGGAAGACGGCUCUAUGAGUUGUAAACUUCUUUUAUACGAGGGUAAAUCGCGAUACGUGUAUCUGUUUGCAAGUAUUUUACGAAUAAGGAUCGGCUAACUCCGUGCCAGCAGCCGCGGUAAUACGGAGGAUUCAAGCGUUAUCCGGAUUUAUUGGGUUUAAAGGGUGCGUAGGCGGUUUGAUAAGUCAGAUGUGAAAUCCCGGGGCUUAACUCCAGCACUGCAUUUGAUACUGUUAGGCUAGAGUUUGGGUGAGGUAGGUGGAAUGUAUGGUGUAGCGGUAAAAUCCGUAGAGAUCA